UCCCACCAAAACCAUAUUUGUCAUUCCCUUGAAGGUUUCCUCUAAGGUCAAUGGCAAGUUCCUGGACUUCUCAACAUGUUAAUUGUGAUUCUCAGGAGUAAAAAAAUUAUCCUUGUUUCCACUGGUAAUUAUAAGGCGUAAUGAUUGCUUACAACGAAUUUCUUCUGAAACUGUAACAUAUAAGCUUGUCAUGGUAUAUUUCUCCAGGGCGUAAUUG
rnacentral:misc_RNA from 1 species